CAAAGGAUGCGGGGGUUACGCCCUUGUUUCAGAACAGUUUGCAAACCGUCGAGGUUUCUCUCACAGUUGUCGGUGAAAUCGCUCCACACGAAGGGAAGUGAUCAGCAAGCAUUGUGCAAAAGUGAAAAGUGUUGGAUUGCGGCCGGCUGCACGUUGGCUAACGGCGUGUUGAAAGUGAGCGAGGACACGGCACGGACGUGCCAACGACGGCGCGCGCCUGCUUGCACAAACGCCGUCGGGUUGCGGCUCCUCUCUGCUCGUGGGAGGAAGGACGCUUGUUUUUCUUUUUGCGUGAGAAGAAAAAAGGAACUUUUUUUUUCUGGUGACGUGAUUCACACGCGGACAACCUGAAAUAACCGCAGUUUGUAUUUUUGUCUUUUUCUUCUCUCACACUCUCUGUCCUCAACAAACUGCAGAGAAAAAAAGCAGAAAGGAGAAGUGUUUUGAAGAAGAUGUGAGUGACUAAGUGUCUGCAGGGUUAGCGCUGUCUAGCAUUUCUGCUACGAUCGGCCUGUGACCAAUAUUGUUAUUUUCCUCUCAAACAUGUGGGUGUCAAACAUAAUGAUAGAAAUCAAAUGUCCUAUUGAACCUUAAUUGCAUUAUUUUAUUUGGUUUACAUUUGGUGUGAUGCUGAAAAAUAAUCAUACUUUUAAUUUCAUAAUUAAAUAGUUUUUAGUGAUAGUUAUACAGUUUAGCAGCCUCGUCUGUGUUGUGCAUCAACUGAUGCUUUGCUAAUGUUUUUAAUUGGGCUAAAGGCUAAAUGCAUGCUAAUCCCCAGUGUAUGAGUCAUGUUCACAUCUGAUGCUUUGUUCAUUUUUAAUCAAGCUAAAUGCUAAAUUCUUGCUAAUCCCUCGUCGAUGAGUCAUUGAUACAGCUGAUUCCCUGCUAACUGCUAAUCAAGCUAAAUGCUAAUUUCAUGCUAAUCCAAGGCGGAUAAAUCGUAGGGACGGUUUUUUCUUGCUAAUUGGUUAAUCCAUCUAAAGCCAAUUAAGAAAUGUAUCUGGAGCUGUGGUGUGUGUGUGUGUGUGUGUGUGUGUGUGUGUGUGUGUGUGUGUGUGUGUGUAGGGGCGGGAUUGGGAAAUAAUCACCUCAGAUUACAGAAAACAAGAAUAAUUUUCUGUGCUCAUCAGUGUUAAACUGUCAUCAGCUGUCACGACUGAUGUAACGUCUUCAACCAGAUGGCUCGGACUCUUUUAUUUUCUAAUUACUUUCCUGUUAAGACAAGAACUCGUCCUGCGGUGUGUGAGCGCAGGUGAGCUGCACGCAGGUGAGCUGCCCUCGUGGAUUAGUAACGGCCGUGAGAUGCGAGAGACAAUCGUCACCUCGCAACAAAAGCACGUGGACAGCGUCGCGAGGUGUCAAUCACCUGAGGUGUCAAUCACCGACCACAUUCUCCUCCAUUGUUGCUAUUGACGGCAAAAAUCGUUACCAGACCGGAGAAGACGAAGACACUGAGGAGAGGAUGCGACGAGUGACGCUUUGAAGUCUCUGCGUCUGGCAUGUACAUGUCAGUCUGUGCGUGUGUGGCAUGUACAUGUCAGUUUGUGUGUGCGUGUGGCAUGUACAUGUCAGUCUGUGUGUGUGUGUGUGGCAUGUACAUCUCAGUUUGUGUGUGUGUGGCAUGUACAUGUCAGUCUGUGCGUGUGUGUGGCAUGUACAUGUCAGUCUGUGUGUGUGUGUGUGUGUGGCAUGUACAUGUCAGUCUGUGUGUAGUGUGUGGCAUGUACAUGUCAGUCUGUGUGUGUGUGUGUGUUUUGUGUGUGUGUGUGUGUGUGUGUGUGGCAUGUACAUGUCAGUCUGUGUGUGUGUGUGUGUGUGUGGCAUGUACAUCUCAGUUUGUGUGUGUGUGGCAUGUACAUGUCAGUCUGUGUGUGUGUGGCAUGUACAUGUCAGUCUGUGUGUGUGUGUGUGUGUGUGACAUGUACAUCUCAGUUUGUGUGUGUGUGGCAUGUACAUGUCAUUCUGUGUGUGUGUGGCAUGUACAUGUCAUUCUGUGUGUGUGGUUGAAUGUGGGAGAAUGUGACUCUACUGUAUAUAUGUGCGUCCGCACGCCUCGUUGUCUGUCAUUCCCCCCGUGGGCAACCACUGUUUACAUACACAAAGCUGAGCAGGGGUUACACUGUGUGUGCAUGUGUGUGUGUGUGUGUGUGUGUGUGUGUGUGUGUGU
ensembl:lncRNA